CAGAACUCAAAGCUGUUCCUUUGCUUCUUCCUUUUCUUUCUCCAAUUGUCUUAAAAUUCCUCUUGUUCCUUUUUUCUUAUAAACUAGGAAUUCAUAGUUCUAUCGACUAGAAGAUUUGGAUCAAAGAGUCACUGAACUGUUGGGGUUGAUCCAUCUGAUGUUUAUGGCCCUAUGACCACGUCAUCAAGAGGAGGCUUCUCAUAUUUUAUAACAUUCAUCGAUGAUCACUCUUGGUUGGGCUAUGUGUAUCUUGUGAAGCACAAGUCCAAAUCCUUUGAAAAGUUUAAGGAAUUCAAGAAUGAGGUUAAGAAGCACACAGGAAAGAGUAUAAAGAUUCUAAGAUCAGAUCGAGGAGGUGAAUACUUGAGUAUAGAGUUUCUUGAUUAUCUGAAGGAACAUGGCAUCAUUUCUCAAAGGAAGUAUAGAGUUUCUUGAUUAUCUGAAGGAACAUGGCAUCAUUUUUCAAUAUACUCCACCAGGGACACGACAACUCAAUGGAGUUUGUAAAAGGAGAAAUCAAACCUUGAUGGGCAUAGUUCGUUCCAUGAUGAGUUAUACUGAUUUACCUAUAUCCUUUUGGGGAUAUGCACUUCUCACUGCAGUUUACUUGCUGAAUCGAGUGCCUUCCAAGUCCAUCUCGAAAACCCCAUAUGAAUUGUGG
rnacentral:lncRNA from 1 species